rnacentral:lncRNA from 1 species
GGACAAUCAGUAUAUAUUUACAUCAAAUUAGAAGUUGUGUAGUAUGUAUAGUACUGUACUGCACAUAAGUUUCUAUCAUUUAAGUUUGAUUAACUAUUAUAAAUUUGGCCUCAUGUAAUUAAACUUCUAUCAUUUAAGCAUGAUUAGCUAUUAAAAAUUUGGCCUCAUGUGAUCAAUUAAGUUGCUAUUCAGCACAAAAAUUAGUGACUAACCAGCCCCCCCCC